rnacentral:rRNA from 1 species
GAGUUUGAUCCUGGCUCAGGAUGAACGCUGGCGGCGUGCCUAAUACAUGCAAGUCGAACGGGGUGUUUGAGCAAUCGGACACUUAGUGGCGAACGGGUGAGUAACGCGUUGGUGACCUGCCCCAAAGCGGGGGAUAACAGCCUGAAAGGGUUGCUAAUACCGCAUAUGAUGAUGAGAGACUAGAAACUUAUCAUUAAAGGAGAAAUCCACUUUGGGAGGGGCCUGCGUCCCAUCAGCUAGUUGGUAGGGUAAAAGCCUACCAAGGCGAAGACGGGUAGGGGACCUGAGAGGGUGACCCCCCACAAUGGAACUGAAACACGGUCCAUACACCUACGGGUGGCAGCAGUAGGGGAUAUUGCACAAUGGGCGGAAGCCUGAUGCAGCAACGCCGCGUGAGUGAUGAAGGCCCUCGGGUCGUAAAACUCUUUUCAAGAGGAAGAGGAAGGACGGUACUCUUGGAAUAAGCCUCGGCUAACUACGUGCCAGCAGCCGCGGUAACACGUAGGAGGCGAGCGUUAUUCGGAUUUACUGGGCGUAAAGCGCGUGUAGGCGGCUGAUCAAGUUGGAUGUGAAAGCUCCCGGCUUAACUGGGAGAGGACGUUCAAAACUGAACAGCUUGAGUAUGAGAGAG